GCCGCAGUCCCCUGUGCUAAGGUAGCAUAAUCAAUAGUCUAUUAAUUAUAGAAUAGAAUGAAAGACCAAACGCGUUUUAUCCUAUUACAGAAUAUAACCCAAAAACUUAUUAAUUAAAGUCAAAAUCCUUUUAAAAUUAAGAAAGACGACAAGACCCUAAUAAACUUAAACUUCUGUUUAACUGGGGCGGUCAACUAACCAUAUCUUCAUUUCCCCCUCCUAAAUACCCCUUCCAAAUAUUUCUAGUUACUAUAGGGAUAACAGCAUAAUUUUUAUCCAAAGAUCUUAUUACAAUAAAAGUUUAUGACCUCGAUGUUGAAUUAAUUUUCCUGUUUCAAGCAAAAAUGAAAUCAGUAAGUCUGUUCGACU
rnacentral:rRNA from 1 species